UACGGGGGGGGCAAGCGUUGUUCGGAAUUACUGGGCGUAAAGGGCUCGUAGGCGGCCAACUAAGUCGGAUGUGAAAUCCCCAGGCUCAACUUGGGAACUGCAUCCGAUACUGGAUGGCUUGAAUUCGGGAGAGGGAUGCAGAAUUCCAGGUGUAGCGGUGAAAUGCGUAGAUAUCGGGAAGAACACCGGUGGCGAAGGCGGCUCGCUGGGCCAUUGCUGACGCUGAGGCGCGAAAGCGUGGGGAGCGAACAGG
rnacentral:rRNA from 1 species